rnacentral:rRNA from 1 species
AGCGAACAUUGGCGGUAGGCUUAACACAUGCAAGUCGAGCGAGGCGUAAUAGUCGAGCGGCGAACGGGUGAGUAAUACAUGGGAAUCUACUAUGGCGUGGGGGGUAAGAGCCAGAAAUGGAUGCUAAUACUGCAUAAUCCCGAGAUGGGAAAGCGCGCUGCGCUCCAAGAUGAGCCCAUGGCUGAUUAGCUAGUUGGUGGGGUAAAGGCCUACCAAGGCGACGAGCAGUAGCUGGUCUGAUAGGAUGAACAGGCACACUGAAACUGAGACACGGUCCAGACACCUACGGGAGGCAGCAGUGGGGAAUCUUGCGCAAUGGGGGCAACCCUGACGCAGCCAUACCGCGUGUGCGAUGAAGGUCUUCGGAUUGUACAGCACUUUCAGUAGGGGCGACGAUGACGGUACCUACAGAAGAAGUCACGGCUAACUUCGUGCCAGCAGCCGCGGUAA